rnacentral:rRNA from 1 species
UACGAAGGGGGCUAGCGUUGCUCGGAAUCACUGGGCUUAAAGGGCGCGUAGGCGGUCCGACAAGUCAGGGGUGAAAUCUUGCAGCUCAACUGCAAAAGUGCCUUUGAUACUGUCGGUCUUGAGGGAGAUAGGGGUGUGCGGAACUUCCAGUGGAGCGGUGAAAUGCGUUGAUAUUGGAAGGAACGCCGGUGGCGAAAGCGGCGCACUGGAUCUCUUCUGACGCUGAGGCGCGAAAGCUAGGGGAGCAAACGGG